UGGGGAAUAUUGCACAAUGGGCGCAAGCCUGAUGCAGCCAUGCCGCGUGUGUGAAGAAGGCCUUCGGGUUGUAAAGCACUUUCAGCGGGGAGGAAGGCGUUAAGGUUAAUAACCUUGGCGAUUGACGUUACCCGCAGAAGAAGCACCGGCUAACUCCGUGCCAGCAGCCGCGGUAAUACGGGGGGUGCAAGCGUUAAUCGGAAUUACUGGGCGUAAAGCGCACGCAGGCGGUCUGUCAAGUCGGAUGUGAAAUCCCCGGGCUCAACCUGGGAACUGCAUUCGAAACUGGCAGGCUAGAGUCUUGUAGAGGGGGGUAGAAUUCCAGGUGUAGCGGUGAAAUGCGUAGAGAUCUGGAGGAAUACCGGUGGCGAAGGCGGCCCCCUGGACAAAGACUGACGCUCAGGUGCGAAAGCGUGGGGAGCAAACAGG
rnacentral:rRNA from 1 species